UUUUGUGUACUAUGCCAAAUUUCCAAAACAAAAUCAAUAACUACUCAAGCACUGAAAUAGCAAAAGAGUUUAUUGCAGCCAAAAGUAAAUGGACAGCAAUGGGCCAGCCAGACAAAAGACAAACAGACAAACUGCGAAGCUGUCUAUCUCUCACCUCCUCUAACUUCCCUAAUUUGACAUGGUUUAUAUACCUUCAUUUAACACUUACAUCAUUGUUUGCUCCUCCUUAAGUCAAGAAAUCACUUAAUAUUUAUUAGAUGUAAGCCAAUUUUGCCUAGGUUAGGUUGAUGUAGCGCCUCCCAAUUGCGUAAUCUCCCUUUUUCCUUUUUUUUUUCCAUCUCAUAUUUAUUUAAGUCUGGGCCUACGAAGUCUUAUGCUUUCCCUUUUUUGGAGAAAAUUUGGUUUGUUCCUUUUUCUUGACCAGACCAUUGACUACCGCUGGUGACUUGAGGUUUUGUUGAAGCCGCAAUCAAUUUUUCUGAAAUUUCCUCAUCAAGAUGUUUCGCAGGCAGCGCUCUUCUCGUACAUCUUCUCGUCUAAGAUUCCUUCUGGGAGCAGGUGGCUACACCUUCCCUUACCCAAAUAGUCACAAUUUGCGUCUGAUUCGAGCUCUGAUGGGCCUAGUCCGCCACCUGGAAAUUGUGAUUGCCGAGAUUGAGGCCCUCUCUCCACCACGACGUUCCCCAAUGGGACCUUACUACAGGUCCACCUGUUCCACCAUCCGGUGAUUUCACCCCUGCUUCUCCUCCAUCUUCACCUGCCGUCAGCCUCAAUCCCACCUCUCCAGUUCGUUAUCCUCAUUCUUCUGAGGAUGAGGAUACCGCUGAAGAUCAUUAAUUUACUUUUUACUUCACCUGAUAUACUUCUUAUAUUUUCUUAACAAUUUGAUAAAUCUGAUCUUGUUUAUCUGUUUUUCAAAGCAGAAGUCUGGCUUUUUUGCACUUUGUCCCAAUUAAAGCAGAACCGAAAGUUUAUUUUUAUAUUUUGGAUCACUGCCUGCACUUUCUGAAUUUUCCAUUCCAAUAAAGUUGCACAACUUCUUGCA